GGUGAUUCUCAGGUGACACACACGGAAUCAGGCUCCCUCCUCUCUGGUUCUGGUCACCCAAGAACCAUA
rfam:Myotis davidii contig138545, whole genome shotgun sequence.